UAUAAUAGAGAAAAAGAUCAUAUACUAAUGUUCUAUCUUUUUAAGCAUUUUGGUUUAUAGGUAUAAACAAUUAGGCAGUCUUGAGGGAACAACAUAGUGCAGUGUCUAUACUCUUUCAUAUGAAAGGCUUGAUGACAUGUGGUUUUUCUUUGCCUUCGACAUGUGAUUUGUGUUUUGGUGAUUUAAAAUCAUCUCGGCAUCUGUUUUUGUCUUGUCUGUAUGCUCAUUGCAUUUGGGACUAUAUUAGCCUUUGGUUUCCAGUGGUUCUUGAUACUUCGGUGGCUAUGGUGGAUUUCUUCUUGCAUUGCAUGAAUAUGUCUCUUAGUCCUCAAUUGACAAAUUUAUUCCAAGCUGCGGUGUUCCCUGCUAUUUCUUCCAUUUGGCAUGCUCAGAAUCAAAUGGCUUAUUUUCGAUUAUGUAUGGUGCAAUAUCCCAGUUUACGAGAAGCGACUCUCAAAGCCUUUGAGGCCAAAGGUGAUUAAUAUUGAUGAUGAUUUCAAGGCUGAUUUCCAAAAUUUCAAGGAUGAUUUGGAUGUUGACGAUGAUGACGAUGUGCUUGAUGUCAAGCCUUUCACUUUCUCUACUUGAGAGCUACCUUCUCAUGUGCUAAAGCCAUCUCUCACCGACCUACUUUAAAAAUUUUUGCACAUCUGUUGCUAUUUGGUUUUUAGAUUUUUGCAAGGUUUUUAUGACAAUCUUUCUUCAUUUCUUUAUUGUAGUUCAUGGCUUUAGCGAUUUGAUCUGUUAGGUAAUUUUGUUUGAUUCUACAAGCUAUUCUCCAAAAUUUCUUGUAAUAAAAAUUGGCUUUCCUUUAUUUUGAGAAA